UCGGGAAUUUUGGGCAAUGGGCGAAAGCCUGACCCAGCAACGCCGCGUGAAGGAUGAAGUAUUUCGGUAUGUAAACUUCGAAAGAAUAGGAAGAAUAAAUGACGGUACUAUUUAUAAGGUCCGGCUAACUACGUGCCAGCAGCCGCGGUAAUACGUAGGGACCAAGCGUUGUUCGGAUUUACUGGGCGUAAAGGGUGCGUAGGCGGCAAUUCAAGUCAUCUGUGAAAUCUCCGGGCUUAACUCGGAACGGUCAGAUGAUACUGCUUUGCUAGAGUACAGAAGGGGCAAUCGGAAUUCUUGGUGUAGCGGUGAAAUGCGUAGAUAUCAAGAGGAACACCUGAGGUGAAGACGGGUUGCUGGGCUGAUACUGACGCUGAGGCGCGAAAGCUAGGGUAGCAAACGGGAUUAGAUACCCAGGUAGUCCCUGAGCGGGCUGGCAAGGCGCAU
rnacentral:rRNA from 1 species